UGUCUAUGAUGCAUCAAAAUGCACGUAUUAUCAGAUCAAAUAAUGAUGAUCUGAUAAUUGUCACUACCUCUGAGACA